rnacentral:rRNA from 1 species
GAUGAACGCUAGCGGCAGGCCUAACACAUGCAAGUCGAGGGGCAGCACAGGUAGCAAUACUGGGUGGCGACCGGCGGAUGGGUGCGUAACGCGUAUGCAACCUACCAUUGAUUGGGGCAUAGCCCGAAGAAAUUCGGAUUAAUACUCCAUAAUAUUCAUCAAAGGCAUCUUUUAUGAAUUAAAGCUUUUGCGAUCAAUGAUGGGCAUGCGUGACAUUAGUUAGUUGGUGAGGUAACGGCUCACCAAAACGAUGAUGUCUAGGGGUUCUGAGAGGAUUAUCCCCCACACUGGUACUGAGACACGGACCAGACUCCUACGGGAGGCAGCAGUGAGGAAUAUUGGUCAAUGGGCGCAAGCCUGAACCAGCCAUCCCGCGUGCAGGAAGACGGCCCUAUGGGUUGUAAACUGCUUUUCCAGGGAGAGAAACUUACGCACGUGUUGCGUGACUGACGGUACCCUGGGAAUAAGCAUCGGCUAACUCCG